rnacentral:rRNA from 1 species
GACGAACGCUGGCGGCGUGCUUAACACAUGCAAGUCGAACGGAAAGGCCUCUUUCGGGGGGUACUCGAGUGGCGAACGGGUGAGUAACACGCGAGUAACCUGCCCUUGACUUUGGGAUAACUUCAGGAAACUGGGGCUAAUACCGGAUAGGAGCUCCUGCUGCAUGGUGGGGGCUGGAAAGCUUCGGCGGUUGGGGGUGGGCUCGCGGCUUAUCCGCUUGUUGGUGGGGUAGUGGCUUACCAAGGCGUUGCCGGGUAGCCGGCCUGAGAGGGUGACCGGCCACAUUGGGACUGAGAGACGGCCCAGACUCCUACGGGAGGCAGCAGUGGGGAAUAUUGCACAAUGGGUGGAAGCCUGAUGCAGCAACGCCGUGUGCGGGAUGACGGCCUUCGGGUUGUAAACCGCUUUCGCUCAUGACGAAGCUUUGUGUGACGGUAGUGGGUAAAGAAGCACCGGCUAACUACGUG